rnacentral:rRNA from 1 species
GACGAACGCUGGCGGCGUGCCUAAUACAUGCAAGUCGAACGCAUUUUCUUUCACCGUAGCUUGCUACACCGAAAGAAAAUGAGUGGCGAACGGGUGAGUAACACGUGGGUAACCUGCCCAUCAGCGGGGGAUAACACUUGGAAACACGUGCUAAUACCGCAUAAUUCCAUUUACCGCAUGGUAAAUGGAUGAAAGGCGCUUUUGCGUCACUGAUGGAUGGACCCGCGGUGCAUUAGCUAGUUGGUGGGGUAACGGCCUACCAAGGCUGCGAUGCAUAGCCGACCUGAGAGGGUGAUCGGCCACACUGGGACUGAGACACGGCCCAGACUCCUACGGGAGGCAGCAGUAGGGAAUCUUCGGCAAUGGACGCAAGUCUGACCGAGCAACGCCGCGUGAGUGAAGAAGGUUUUCGGAUCGUAAAACUCUGUUGUUAGAGAAGAACAAGGAUGAGAGUGGAAAGUUCAUCCCUUGACGGUAUCUAACCAGAAAGCCACGGUUAACUACGUG